CACCAAAACUUUUUUCCCUUUGAAUACAACAAACAAUAUGCUAUGGGCCAGAUGCGACAUAUUCCCUUUAUUGAAGGCAAGAAUAUAGGAAAACUGAACUAGUAGGUCAUAUUCUUAGGCAAGCCCCAAACCUUAUGUAUCAAGCAUUAAUCAAAGUAUCCCCGGAGGAAUCAUCCCACAAAUCAUUUCUAACAUACAAAAAUAGUUGGUUCGGCAGGAUAGCCAGAUCAAUAGCGGAGAUAGGCUUAUUCUGGGAAUUCAUUAAGUGGGCUUCUGCAGAUGGAAGAACCUUUAAAAUUCGCUAAUCUACGAUCAUCUGACGAAUGACUGCUGAGUCGAGAGCUUAAAUCAGAUGGAACAUUUUAACCGUUUUACAUAUAACAACCCCCAAGGUGAUCUAUAUUGUACAAAUCGUUAUUGCGUGACUUCAAAUGGUAUCCGUAUAUUAAUAACUAGGGGCUGAUAGAAUCAGGGCUAUUCGGAUCAAUCAAAUUAGGCUUACAAAUAUGACAUAUUAUAAUAUAUUUAUAUAAUAAUAUAAAAUAAGUAUUCAUUGAC